rnacentral:lncRNA from 1 species
UUCUUCUUUAGUGUGUCUUCUCUUAGAGUUUAGGAACUCCAAAGCCAACAAAGCUCUCCCCCUUCCAUCUGGCAGGAGUUAGAAGCAAACAGGUGUCUUGAAAAGAUGGAGCCAGAAGAUCGGGGAAUAGCUGUGGCUCUGCUGCUAUUAGUCACGUGACUGGGCAAGUAAUUCAAGGGGUUGAAGCUGCUAUAUUCCAGGUGCUGUGAACACAGUGGUGUCCUGCCAGAUGCUGUGAACACAGUGGUGUCCUGGCCACCAUGGCUGACCUGGCCCAGGCCUUCAGGUAUUUCAGAGUCUACUGAAAACUUUGCUCUUCUCAUUCCAAGCUUUCCUACUUAUGUGACUUACACCAGAUUACUUAACCUCGGUGAACCUCAGUUUUUACAUCUGUGAGGUGGGGGAGCAAUUAGAGAAGGUAACAUGACAUGUGUAAAGGGUCUGUCGCAGUAUGUGGAACUCAUGUGUCCUCAAUAAAUGUAAGCCGUCUCCCCUAAGUCA